UUUUGCAUAUCAAUAAGCGGAGGAAAAGAAACCAACAGGGAUUCCCUCAUAACGGGGGGGGUGAAAAGGCGCAAAAGCUCAAAUUUGAAACCCUCGGGAUUGUAAUUUGAAGAUUUGGCAUUGGAGAAAGCUAACCCAAGUUGCUUGGAAUAGUACGUCAUAGAGGGUGACAACCCCGUCUGGCUAACCGUUCUCCAUGUAUUGCCUUAUCAAAGAGUCGAGUUGUUUGGGAAUGCAGCUCAAAGUGGGUGGUAAACUCCAUCUAAAGCUAAAUACUGGUGAGAGACCGAUAGCGAACAAGUACUGUGAAGGAAAGGUGAAAAGAACUUUGAAAAGAGAGUGAAAUAGUAUGUGAAAUUGUUGAUAGGGAAGGAAAUGAGUGGAGAGUGGCCGAGGUUUCAGCCGCCCCUCGUGGGCGGUGUACUGCCGACGCCGAGUCAUCGAUAGCGAGACGAGGGUUACAAAUGGGAGCGCCUUCGGGCGUUCUCCCCUAACCCUCCACACUGCCACCGACGACUUUAUCCACCCAUUUCACCCGUCUUGUUU
rnacentral:rRNA from 1 species